CGGACGGGUGAGUAAUGUCUGGGAAACUGCCUGAUGGAGGGGGAUAACUACUGGAAACGGUAGCUAAUACCGCAUAACGCCGCAAGACCAAAGAGGGGGACCUUCGGGCCUCUUGCCAUCAGAUGUGCCCAGAUGGGAUUAGCUAGUAGGUGGGGUAACGGCUCACCUAGGCGACGAUCCCUAGCUGGUCUGAGAGGAUGACCAGCCACACUGGAACUGAGACACGGUCCAGACUCCUACGGGAGGCAGCAUG
rnacentral:rRNA from 1 species